GAAAGGCCCUUCGGGGUACUCGAGUGGCGAACGGGUGAGUAACACGUGGGUGAUCUGCCCUGCACUUUGGGAUAAGCCUGGGAAACUGGGUCUAAUACCGAAUAGGACCGCAUGCUUCAUGGUGUGUGGUGGAAAGCUUUUGCGGUGUGGGAUGGGCCCGCGGCCUAUCAGCUUGUUGGUGAGGUAAUGGCUUACCAAGGCGACGACGGGUAGCCGGCCUGAGAGGGUGACCGGCCACACUGGGACUGAGAUACGGCCCAGACUCCUACGGGAGGCAGCAGUGGGGAAUAUUGCACAAUGGGCGCAAGCCUGAUGCAGCGACGCCGCGUGAGGGAUGACGGCCUUCGGGUUGUAAACCUCUUUCGCCAGGGACGAAGCGCAAGUGACGGUACCUGGAGAAGAAGGACCGGCCAACUACGUGCCAGCAGCCGCGGUAAUACGUAGGGUCCGAGCGUUGUCCGGAAUUACUGGGCGUAAAGAGCUCGUAGGUGGUUUGUCGCGUUGUUCGUGAAAACUCACAGCUUAACUGUGGGCGUGCGGGCGAUACGGGCAGACUUGAGUACUGCAGGGGAGACUGGAAUUCCUGGUGUAGCGGUGGAAUGCGCAGAUAUCAGGAGGAACACCGGUGGCGAAGGCGGGUCUCUGGGCAGUAACUGACGCUGAGGAGCGAAAGCGUGGGGAGCGAACAGGAUUAGAUACCCUGGUAGUCCACGCCGUAAACGGUGGGUACUAGGUGUGGGUUUCCUUCCUUGGGAUCCGUGCCGUAGCUAACGCAUUAAGUACCCCGCCUGGGGAGUACGGCCGCAAGGCUAAAACUCAAAGAAAUUGACGGGGGCCCGCACAAGCGGCGGAGCAUGUGGAUUAAUUCGAUGCAACGCGAAGAACCUUACCUGGGUUUGACAUGCACAGGACGCCGGCAGAGAUGUCGGUUCCCUUGUGGCCUGUGUGCAGGUGGUGCAUGGCUGUCGUCAGCUCGUGUCGUGAGAUGUUGGGUUAAGUCCCGCAACGAGCGCAACCCUUGUCUCAUGUUGCCAGCACGUUAUGGUGGGGACUCGUGAGAGACUGCCGGGGUCAACUCGGAGGAAGGUGGGGAUGACGUCAAGUCAUCAUGCCCCUUAUGUCCAGGGCUUCACACAUGCUACAAUGGCCGGUACAAAGGGCUGCGAUGCCGUGAGGUGGAGCGAAUCCUUUCAAAGCCGGUCUCAGUUCGGAUCGGGGUCUGCAACUCGACCCCGUGAAGUCGGAGUCGCUAGUAAUCGCAGAUCAGCAACGCUGCGGUGAAUACGUUCCCGGGCCUUGUACACACCGCCCGUCACGUCAUGAAAGUCGGUAACACCCGAAGCCGGUGGCCUAACCCCUUGUGGGAGGGAGC
rnacentral:rRNA from 1 species